ACCGGGCGCAGUGGCGCGUGCCUGUAGUCCCAGCUACUCAGGAGGCUGAGGUGGGAGGAUCGCUUGAGCCCAGGAGUUCUGGGCUGCAGUGUGCUAUGCUGAUUGGGUGUCCGCACUAAGUUCGGCAUCAAUAUGGUGACCUCCCUGGAGCAGGGGACCACCAGGUUGCCUAAGGAGGGGUGAACCGGCCCAGGUCGGAAAUGGAGCAGGUCAAAACUCCCAUGCUGGUCAGUAGUGGGAUCACGCCUGUGAAUAGCCACUGCACUCCAGCCUGGGCAACAUAGCAAGACCCCGUCUCU
rnacentral:SRP_RNA from 1 species